rnacentral:rRNA from 1 species
GGCGACCCCAGGUCAGGC